CCUAUGCACAAUGCAUUCUACACAAGUCCCCAGUGCACCAACAGCCCAAUUUUGGCUAUAUUCUCUGAGAGAUUUAAGGAAGUCAGCAACCACUCAUCUCACGUGAUCUUAAAAAGGGGCGCAGCUGAGCCCGGAAUAAACCACACUUUUUUUUCUGCAUCAACUUCACUGCCCAGUAUGAAGGAAGUGGGCAGGGAGGUGGCGCAGGUCCAGUGUGCAGAGGAGGCUAGCAAACAAGCGUGGGUUGCUGUGCCUUCUACUUCGGGGGAGCUAGGUGAGAAGGCACACUCGCUCAAGCGCACUGCAGGGGCUGAAAAAUCGAAGACUGCCACACCCCCCAGGAGCCAGGGGCAUAGCUUCAUCUCCUCUUGCUCCACCAAAAAGGGGGCCCUUUCUACGGAAUGCCUCACCCGCCGGGCACUGCCCGGAUCCCCCGCACCCCGACGUGCAACGCCCUUGAGUCCGGCGCGGGUGGGACACGGCGCUGGGGGGCGGCAGAGGGGGGACGGCCGCGGCGACAGGGGACACGCGCAUGCGCAGAUAUGGGUACCCGCCCGUUCACCUACCGUUGGAACCGCGACGCCCCGUUCCCUGGCCGCGGCCGCUUCUCCAGGACCCGCGGCGGCGGCAAGAGGGCGAGAACUGAGGCCCCGAGAGGCUCCGCGGCCGGCGAGCUUCUUCCUGCGGCGGCCGCUGGAGGGAGGCUGAAGCGACGGCUGUAGCGCGGGGCCAGCCCGGGAGAAUCAAAGGUCACAAGCAUUUAUGAGCUUGUUUUAUAGAAGAAAAAGAAUGCCUUCAAGGAUCACCAGGUGCUGUCAUUCUCUCUUGGGUCACUUACCCUGGGGAAAGCCAACUGCAUGUCAUGAGGCAGCCCUGUAGAGAGACUCACUUGGUGAGAAUUGAGGCUGCCAACAAUGUGAGUGAGCUUGGAAGUGGAUUCCCUCAUCCUCACCCCAGUCAAAUCUACAGAUGAGACUCCAGCCUCCGCCAAAGCCUGACUACAAUCUCCUGAGAUACCUUGAGCCAGAAGUGCCCAACUAAGGCAUACCCAGAUUCCUGACUCACAGAAACCGUGCUAUAAUAAAUAUCUAUUGUUUUAAGCCACUAAGUAUUGGGGUAAUUUGCCAUGUGGCAAUAGAAAACUAACACAGAUUUUGGAACCUGGAAGUGAGGUACAGUAAAAAAUAACUUAAAAUGUGAUUGUUGCUUUGAAAGAAGACGAUGACUUUGAGAAGAGUUUUAGUGAAUGUGAUACUGAACCUCUUAACCUCAAGUGUGUGCCCUAUGCACAGUAAGCCAAUCACUGAG
rnacentral:lncRNA from 1 species